rnacentral:lncRNA from 1 species
CCUCAGCUGCAUUUUUCAAGAUAAAGUAGUUUGCAAAAUGUACCUGUUAGUAACUGAAUGGGUUGAUUUGUUAUAUGAAAUCAGUAGCUUUCAGUGUUGAAGAUGACUACCUUUUCCUUUGGCUUUGAGGAAUGUGGUAACAUGCGCUUCUUCCUGACAACUCUUAUAAAUCAGGUACAAAUGUCUACGGAAGUCAUGUCUAGAUUAUAAAAGGAUCAUUUUCAGAUGGAGAUUUGACUACUGAUAGGCAAAAAUUUUCUACCAAAAGAAAUCCUAUUUAUAUACUCUCAGUGUUAACAAGAAUAACAGGGUCCUGGGCAGAAGGAGGCUCAUCCAGAUCAAAAUCAGCUUGCCUAUCAAUGCUGUGAAGAGAUCUACUUAUUACAUGAAUACAAAUCAAAGGGUAUAGGAAGGCAAGAGGAGUCAUUUGGCUCAAUUAAAUGGAAAACAGAUGAUCUUGCCUCCAAUUGUGUGGAUAGUAUUGAGGUUCUCAGAGAGAAACUCAUUGGCUUACUUGUGAGAACCUGA